rnacentral:misc_RNA from 1 species
ACACCUCAACUCUCAUGGCUAGCCGUGAUGAGCUUGGACUUUGGGGGUCUUGCUGGCCUGUGGUCAGCUCCUCUCAAAUGAAUCAGCUUGCCAGUGUUUGGUGGGAUCACAGGUGUGAUAACUAUCUACGCUUGUGGUUUUCCACCAGGUAACCUUCAGCAAUGGAGGUUCGCUGGAGCUUAUAAAUGUCUCUCCUCUGCGAGGACAAUUUUGACCAU